GAGCGUGACAACUGAAGCGACUUCAAAAUAAACUGCAGGAGCGUACACUUCCCUGUACUUCCGCUUUCGUCAAAGAUCCGCCUCACGAAUAGUUUUAUUUUACUUCCACGCAUCAACAACAACAACAGCCUCCAUCCAUGGAUAUGAUACUUAUCUCAUGUCAAGAUUUGCAGUGCAUUGAGCUCUCUCGGCCAACGUGUGUUUUCCUGAAUUAAAUGAGAACUUAAGUGCUGCCCCAGGAUGGAGAUCACCACCUGCAUCGGGCGACUUUACAUCUGAACAACACUGAGUGUCUGAAAUCCUUCUCAUCCUAACCUCUCACUUGUGAGUCAUCGCUGUCUCCUCUCAGAUCCGCACAGUAGCUGAUUGGGUGCUGGCUGGUCCCUUUUGUAAUCAAGCGGAAUGAUGAAAGACUCAUCACAAACCACCCACCACAGUCAUUGUCUGACAGACCCACUUGAGCCGCUGGGUCUCCCCAUGCUCACUAAUUCAAAGUCGUCCGUGUGUCAUUGACUCCCUGAUGGACUACUCUGCUACGUGACGGACAUCAGGAAAACUCCAAAAA